AAUUUGUGCCAGCAUGGUCUGGAGCAGCAGAGUGAGGUGUAAACGUGGCCAGAGCCUUCUCUUCUCACACUCCUCUGCACAAGUGGCCAAGGUGAGCCUGCAUUUUGACAUCCUCACUGCAUUCGGAAGCAUAGGGAAUUAUUCCGGGGUAUAUGAAGCCCAUUCACUGCAGAGCUCCUUUAGUGCCUGGCUUUCAUCGGGAUGAAGAAGAGGAAUGUGGGUACUGAAGGAAUAUCCCAGUGAGGUGAGAAGAGGUUUUGCUGGAGGAUGGCUUUGGACCUCUGCCCCUCUGAAAGCUAAGGUGGCUGAAGCAGCAUUGGAUGCGAUAAGGCUUGAAGCAGCUGAAGGUACUAUUGGAUUGUGUUUUCCCAGUGAGGUUCAGGCCCAAAUGCACCUGACAGAAACGUGGCAGGUGAGGCCAUUGAACAGCUAAUGAAGUGCCCAACCUCAGCCACCCAGCAGCACAGAGGGGCACAAACACUUGGCCCCUGUGCCCAGAGCCGAAGAGCCAGGAGAGGAUACUGGUGCUGAGCCUCUUCAGCGCACAGCUGGUAUCGCAACACUGGUACCCACCUACCUGUCACUCCUCGCUUGGAGUGACACAAGAGCAGUGUACAGGGGCAGGAUCACCUCCUUCAACC
rnacentral:lncRNA from 14 species